UUCGACCAGAAGAAGUAGGGGACUAACAACUAUGACCGACAUGACCACCAACACCACAUCCACAACCGGGGAGGGGGGAGGGGGCACUGAUGGGCACCAAAGCGCCUCAGUGGACGCUCUUACUGAUGACGCCACUAGGGACAAUGAAGCCUCCUCGUCUUCGGCUCCAGCCACUGGAGCACCACAUGUAAGAGGACGACGACCACCAUGCAUGCCCCAUAAGCUCCCCCGACACAAUCCCGUCUGCCGGCAGCGCCAUCAGACAAGGCAUGUGAUCGCCCAGGGAGCCAUAGGAGUCUCUCAACGGAGCUACCAGAAGGAGGGAGAGAAGGAAGUGAUAAGAAUGAUCCAUUUAUCCAGGUUAAAAACAAUUAUGUUUUAAAUUUGUUCCCCCCCCCUCCCUUAAAACUCCUAUGAGAUACUUCACAUAAUAAUAGCACAUCAAUAAAAUGAGAUUUAUG